AAAGUAAUUUUUACCUCACUAUGUUUCCCAACCCCUUUAGAGUUAUUCAAAUGAGGUACAGCCCAUUUGACACCGGAUACAACCUUCACUAACGGGUAAAAAAAUCAAUUUAUACCUUCAAGUAGGCUUAAGAGCAGCCAUCUUUUAAAAAGCGUCAAANCUUAACCCUUAUAAUAUUAAUUUAAAAUCUACAUUGACCCCUUUAAUUGUACUGAGAACUUCUAUAUCAUAUAGAACUUUUUAUGCUAAAACUAAUAACAAGAGGAAAACCCUCUCCCCAUGCAAGUGUAAACCAGCAAGAACCCACCCCUGGCAAUUAACAGACCCCCUCAACAAUAGCAACCCUAACCUAGAGAACCCUACUUCCUCAACUGUCAACCUAACACUAGAGCAUUUCAAGAAAGAUUAAAAGAAAAAGAAGGAACUCGGCAAAUAUUAAUCCCGCCUGUUUACCAAAAACAUCGCCUCUUGGCCCCCCCCCAUAAGAGGUCCAGCCUGCCCAGUGACUCUGUUCAACGGCCGCGGUAUUCUAACCGUGCAAAGGUAGCGUAAUCACUUGUUUUCUAAAUAAAGACCAGUAUGAAAGGCNCCACGAGGAUUAAACUGUCUCCUUUUUCCAAUCAG
rnacentral:rRNA from 1 species